AUUCUACCCAUGCGGGGAAGGAUGAGAAGCUUCGACUAAGGUUCGAUUCGAGCGCAGCGAGAAAGCGUUGCCGCAGGCAACGACCCGAAGGGCGAAGCGCGCAGCGCUGAGUCA
rnacentral:sRNA from 1 species